GAUGAACGCUCGCGGCAGGCCUAACACAUGCAAGUCGAGGGAGAAGCCCUUUCGGGGGCCGAAACCGGCGCACGGGUGCGUAACGCGUAUGCAACCUACCUUUCACAGGGGGAUAGCCCGAAGAAAUUUGGAUUAAUACCCCAUAAUAUUAUUGGAUGGCAUCAUUUGAUAAUUAAAACUGCGGUGGUGAAAGAUGGGCAUGCGUCCUAUUAGCUAGUUGGAGUGGUAACGGCACCCCAAGGCUACGAUAGGUAGGGGUCCUGAGAGGGAGAUCCCCCACACUGGUACUGAGACAGGGACCAGACUCCUACGGGAGGCAGCAGUGAGGAAUAUUGGUCAAUGGUCGGAAGACUGAACCAGCCAUGCCGCGUGCAGGAAGAAUGCCUUAUGGGUUGUAAACUGCUUUUAUAUGGGAAGAAUAAGGCGUACGUGUACGUUGAUGACGGUACCAUAUGAAUAAGCAUCGGCUAACUCCGUG
rnacentral:rRNA from 1 species